rnacentral:miRNA from 1 species
AAGAUAGAAUGAGAUGAGGACU